UAUUUGAUAAUGAAAUCUGGGACCCAGCUGGUCCUCUCAGCUCUGUGUUUGUGCAGUUAAGUAUGAAAAUAGAUCAUAAACACACAAAUGCCUUUUGUUUCUUUAGCUAAUCUAAUUUUAUUUGUGAAGAAACCUUUAAAUGCAUUGUGAUUUCUUUCACAUGCAGAUUAGUAUAGUCUUAUAUCUUCAUAUUCUCUUUUUUAAUGGGGGGAAAUAGUGCCUCACUUAAACCAUGCUGUGAGAGGUUCUGAUACAAUUAAAAUGAUCUAAACAGCUGUAGAAAUAUUUCUGAGCCUUGUUGAUGAAGAAGUAAUCUCGUUUGACGGACGUCUUCAUUUCUAUCUUAAUCACAGCAUGCAAGAUUAGCAAUACAUGUGUUUCACUCCACUUAAUUGCUCAGAGUGCAUGCACAAAUACAGGGCUUUACUUCAAUUAAUUAUUUUGAAUUUCAAUGAACUUAGGAGAGACCACACUGAAAGUAUCUGAUAGAGUCCUUAGAUAAAUGUAAUGAAUGUUAGAGAAAGUUUAUAUAACAGCCUCCUCCAAGUCUUGAUUUUCUGCCAUCAUAGUGAAAGAAUCUUAAAAUAUAAACAUGUAGAACAUAUAACAAAAAAUCAGAUAAUUGGAUGACCUAAUGUUGUGUCUUUAGCUACAGUCAUUACCUGAGGGUUCAAAGAAUACUGAAAAACUAUUACAUUAACUGUGCCGUGGUUAUAGGAAAAAAGGAAAGGCAUAUGUUCUUACUCAUAUAUUGAUCUACCAUUUCUGACUCUUAUCAUAAAUUUAUUAGUGACUAUUCUGUUAUGCUUGUCUUGGAAAACAUUCUAGAUCUAAGUCAAGAUUGUUUUUAAAUUUUCAUCAUAUGUGCUAAAACACCAUGUUCUAAACACUUCCUAAUUACUGCGUAUGCAAAAAAGCAAUUAGAGUUACUUUAUAGUUAGAAACUGGAAAUAAUACUUUGACUCUGGAUUAUAGGAAAAGGUUUAAAAUUGAGAAAUAAUAUUAGAAUAUGGACUAUAAGGAAUUAGGCUAAAAAGAGCACAAGUGAAACAAAAGGCAGUUUAAGCCUCAGUUUUGUUUAUCAGAGACCAAGGCUGGUGGCUGGUUCAGAAUACCGUGGAGAGAAGACAGCAGGCUGUCGUGGAUGCUGGAGUUCAGGAGAAAGAAUUGCCUUCAUGGUUCCACUUUGACUCCAUUACUAAAUGAACAUUUAAAAACUUUCUUUAAAAAAAAGCAAAAAAGAGCAAAACAAAAGAAAAACAGAAAAGCCCCUGCGGAUUUCAAAAACUCUACUGAAGGAAAAAAGCAACAACGAAAGUCCUCUACUGAUAACAAAAAGGGAAAACACCAAUUUGCUUGAGGAGCUACGCUUUAGUAUAACACAAGCUUACGAG